UUUCUCUCAGAGAGUGGUCAGGCACUGGAAUGGCCUGACCAGGGAGGUGGUUGGAGUCGCCGUCCCUGGCAGUGUUCAAGAAGCAUCCGGAUGAGGAGCUAUGAGAUAUGGUAGAUUGUGGUAGGAGUGGUAAUGGGAUGAUGGUUGGACUAGAUGAUCUUGUAGGACUCUUGAUACCUUGUGAUUCUAGGACUCUAUGAUUCUAUGAUUCUAUGAUGGUGGUCUUCUUGUUUGAUCAGAUGCGAUAGAAUCUCCCUAACGUCUCUGACCCUGGCAAACCUUCAGUGAGUUCAGCCACACCACAGGAAGAAGGGCAGCCGGAGACCUUUCUGCCCGGGAAGCCCAGGAAGAAGGAGCUCUCCAGGAGCUGUGCAUGGACAUCCUGGGAUCACUGGACGUCUCUGUGAGAGGGAUGUCCAAACUCCUGUGGCCGCGGCUGCUGUUGUUUGUGGUGCCAGCGCAGUACACAGGCAUGCUGAUCCCAGUCUCCCGCUGUGUCUGUGCCCUGGCUGAGAGAGAGGAGCUGACAGGACGGCGCAUAGAACAUCUGGAUCCCCAUUUUGUCAGCUCCAUGUUUCAAGGCCCACUGCUGACGCCCCAGA